GCCUGGGUGGCUCAGUCGGUUGGGCGUCUGACUUCGGCUCAGGUCAUGAUCUCGAGGUCCGUGAGUUCGAGCCCCGCAUCGGGCU
rnacentral:tRNA from 1 species